GACAGAGGGUGCAAACGUUGCCCGGAAUUAUUGGGCGUAAAGAGCUCGUAGGCGGUUUGUCGCGUCUGCUGUGAAAAUCCAGGGCUUAACCCUGGACCUGCAGUGGGUACGGGCAGACUGGAGUGCGGUAGGGGAGAUCGGAAUUCCUGGUGUAGCGGUGAAAUGCGCAGAUAUCAGGAGGAACACCGGUGGCGAAGGCGGAUCUCUGGGCCGUAACUGACGCUGAGGAGCGAAAGCAUGGGGAGCGAACAGG
rnacentral:rRNA from 1 species